UGGGAUGUAGCUCAGCGGCAGAGCACUUACCUGGCAUGUGUGAGACCCUGGGUUCAACCCCCAGCACUGCAG
rnacentral:tRNA from 1 species